rnacentral:antisense_RNA from 1 species
CUUCUUCCCUCCCUCCUUCCUUCAUUCCUUGCACCUUUUCUUGUUUCAGUCUUUAUUCUUUCUUUCUCCUUCUUCUACCUCUUUUUCAUUUCAUUUCUUUCUUUUUUUUUUUUUUUUUUGAGACAAGGCUUGGCCUUGUUGCUCAAGCUGGGUUCACCCUCUCUACUCCCCACCCCCACCCCUGCCAUAGCGUCUACCUUCCCUGGGGAGGAGGGCUUCUCUGCUGUUCUCCCCUGCCUGGUGUGAGCUCACAUUCUCUGUGUGUUGCACAGGCCUCAUAACCAUCAGUUGUUACUGAUGCUUGUUUUGGUUGUCAAAGAAGAAUGAGGAGAGGAGUUAUAGGAGGUGGACUUGGAGGUUUGUUCGGGGUCACUGGCUGCAGCAAGUCUCCUCCCACAGAGCCGACCCCAUUCCUCAGACCUACACUCUGUACAGCAUGGGUACUGACCAACUCAUGGUUAAAUGGAAGCUGGGCCUCCAAGCCCUUCUCGGACUCAGAAUCCUCCCAGCAGACACCCAGGCAGAGGAGUGUGAAUUCUCAGCCCCUAAAAAGGACAGCCCUGUGAGGCAGGCUCACAGGUGCCUAGAGGAUCUU